rnacentral:tRNA from 1 species
GCCUGGGUGGCUCAGUAGGUAGAGUGUCUGACUCUUGAUCUUGGCUCAGGUCUUUAGUUGUGAGGUCGAGCCUCACACUGGGCU